rfam:Dipodomys ordii contig_56843, whole genome shotgun sequence.
GGUGGCUCAGUGGUAGAGUGUUUGCCUUGCAUGCAUGAGGUCCUGGGUUCGAUUCCUCAGCACCA